rnacentral:rRNA from 1 species
UGGUGGCGAUAGCGAAGAGGUCACACCCGUUCCCAUACCGAACACGGAAGUUAAGCUCUUCAGCGCCGAUGGUAGUCGGGGG